AUAUGGAGGACUAAAAGUGCCAAAAUUAAAUAAAUAAAUAAACCAUUAAAUAAUUACUUUAAUGUGUCAUUGAUUAAUUAAAAUUGGAAUUAAAUACAUAAAUGUGUCAUUAUUUCAUUAAAAUACCAAUUUAUUUUAUGUAAAAAACAUAAAUAAUUAUUUCACUAUUUAAUUAAGUAUUUCAUGGUCCUGUGUUGCAGUGCUUCAUGAAUUUAUUUUAUCUGUCAAACUCGCCCAUCAAAGUCAGUGGGCGGGGCUAACGCUAAUCUAGUCUAAUCCAUUGCUUCGGUCUGAAGUCUUUCAAAACAUGGCGGCUACGAUGAUGGAGGACCUCCAUGACCUUUCUAGGGAGUUGGUGAGAGAUAUUUUAGACCUAGCAGAGAAUGUGGAAGUAGGACCUGCUGACCCAGAACAUGUAGCGUGUAAAGCAGAGGAAUUUAUUGAAGUUGUUGGAGUUAUUUCCGCACUUUCUGACCAAGAUAUUGACCGUAGAGUGACUGCAAAUUUAGAAGAAGUACUCCACCGCUUCUCUGGUAACGUUACCAGGGCGCAACAGGCACAACACACACAGGGACCACGACGUUUAGCGUUUGACAUACCGAGUUCAGUUCUGGAGCAUCAAGUUCUUUGUGGAUUACCAGCUUGUCAAAUUGCAGCGAUGUUCGGGGUGUCAAAGAGGACCAUCAGGAGGCGCAUGAAACAAAGCGGUUUAAGGUAACGUUAUUACACUAAAUUCACGAGUUUUCAGUUUAUGAAUUGCCAGUCUCAUCCACUCAGAAAUGAUAUUACGUUAAGUGUAACAUUACUUGAUAUUGAUGUUUUUUGUUUAUGCAGAAAGACAGACCUCUAUUCAGCUGUGAAUGAUGAUGAGUUGGACCGUAUUGUAAGUGGAGUCCACAGAAGACAUCCAAACACUGGCUACAAGCUAAUGCGUGGUCAUCUGAAUGCAAGAGGUGUGCGUGUUCCAAGUGAAUAUAAUAAUAUGGGCAUUGUUUACAUUUAUUUUCUAAUGUAUUUAUAUAAUAUGAGCUAUAAAGUAAAUUAGUGAGCCUAGCUAAUUUUAAGAUAAUGUUCAUGUAGGCCUAUGUUUCCAUUUCCAAUGCAUCAGUCAUUUUAUUUGCAGUUUAGUUGAAGCCAGUAGCCAUGCAUUAAAAUAUCCUAUCCUGAAGUUUAGUUUAGCAACUUUUUUAUUCUCUUUCAGAAAAUUAAGUGAGUUUUGGUUAUUUUUGAGGCUGUGGUGGUUCUGUAGUGUAAUAGUUGACUGCUUUACACACAUCAUUAUAUUGUCUGUUUUAUUAUGACACCACUAUUUCCUCAAAAUAAGUGAUUCUGUGAGUAUCUUUGUUCCAGUACUGGUCAAAUAGAUUGAACAGGUGUUUCUAAUGAAGUUGCCAGUGAGUGUAUCGUUAUUUAUUUUAUUUUCCUCCCCUUAGUCUCAAGACUGCAAGAGUCUUUACGCAGAGUCGAUGCAGAGGGAGUCUACAUGAGAAGUCUAAGGCUGUGUGUAUUAAGACGACGGCAGUAUUCUGUUCCUGGCCCAAACUCUUUAUGGCAUAUAGAUGGCAACCAUAAGCUCAUCAGGUGGAGAUUUGUUGUCCAUGGCGGGGUGGAUGGAUUCAGUCGUUUAAUGGUCUACCUGACUGUGGCUGGCAAUAAUAGAGCUAGUACAGUCUUACAGAGCUUUAUUGCUGCUGUUGAGCAGUAUGGGCUGCCAUCAAGGGUACGGUCUGAUAAAGGGGCGGGGGGAUGCAGAUGUAGCAGAAUUCAUGAUCAGGAGCAGAGGUACCAACAGGAAUUCGCACAUCACAGGCAGAAGUGUCCACAAUCAGCGAAUAGAGAGAAUGUGGAGAGAUGUUUAUGAACAUGCCCUGGACCUCUUCUAUCAGAUCUUCACUUCAUUGGAAGAUCAGGGAACACUGAAUCCAGACAAUGAAGUCCAUCUUUUCGCACUGCAUCGGAUCUUCCUUCCACUAAUUCAGCAAAGCCUCGACUCUUUCAGAGAAGCUUGGAACUUUCAUGGUCUUAGAACUGAAAGGAAUCAGUCACCGCAGCAACUCUGGAGAAGAUACAGAGAGCAAGGCCCUAUGGAGGAUCCUACAGAGGUUUAUGAAGACUAUGGGAUCGACUAGAACGGACCUCACAGUCUUCAUGGAGGCACUGUGUCAGUCCCCGAGGUUCAGCUGGCCCGUGAGCUCUCAGAUGAAGAGGUUGCCAUUUUGCCAACUCCAGG